rnacentral:rRNA from 1 species
GUGUCAGCCGCCGCGGUAAUACGAAGGGAGCAAGCGUUGUUCGGAAUUACUGGGCGUAAAGGGCGUGUAGGCGGUUUGGUCAGUCAGAUGUGAAAGGCCUGGGCUUAACCCAGGAAGUGCAUUUGAAACUGCCAGACUAGAGUACGAGAGGGGGUAGUGGAAUUACGAGUGUAGAGGUGAAAUUCGUAGAUAUUCGUAAGAACAUCGGUGGCGAAGGCGUCUACCUGGCUCGAUACUGACGCUAAGGCGCGAAAGCGUGGGGAGCAAACAGGAUUAGAUACCCUCGUAGUCC